rnacentral:rRNA from 1 species
CCUACGGGAGGCAGCAGUGGGGAAUAUUGCGCAAUGGGCGAAAGCCUGACCCAGCGACGCCGCGUGCGGGAUGACGGUCUUCGGAUCGUAAACCUCUGUCAGCAGGGAAAAACGGUCACUGUGCUAAUCAGCAGUGAAUUGACGGUACCUGCAAAGGAAGCACCGGCUCACUCCGUGCUCGCCGCCGCGGUAAUACGGAGGGUGCUAGCGUUAAUCGGACUUACUGGGCGUAAAGCGCUCGUAGGCGGUAUGUCAAGUCAGGGGUGAACUGCCCGCGCUCAACGUGGGAACUGCCUUUGAAACUGGCAAACGGGAGUGUGGGAGAGGAUAGGGGAAUUCCAGGUGUAGGGGUGAAA